UACGAAGGGGGCUAGCGUUGUUCGGAAUCACUGGGCGUAAAGGGCGCGUAGGCGGCUUGAUAAGUAGGGGGUGAAAUCCUGCGGCUUAACCGCAGGGCUGCCUUCUAAACUGUCGGGCUAGAGCACGGUAGAGGCAGAUGGAAUUCCCGGUGUAGCGGUGGAAUGCGUAGAGAUCGGGAGGAACACCAAUGGCGAAGGCAGCUCGCUGGGACGUGACUGACGCUGAGACGCGAAAGCGUGGGGAGCAAACAGG
rnacentral:rRNA from 1 species